UUUGCCCACGGGCCUAGCUCUGUGGUGUAUCUCACGUGCAUCUUUGGUGAGAAAACUGGCGGGCUGCCACAAGCGGAUUAGGCGAAUCCAACCCUGGUGGGUGGAUUGACGAAGAAAUAUCUCCCUCGUAGCCCCUCUCUCUCCCUCGUCUCUUCUCACCCCCCCUCCUCCCCUCCGUGCCGCUGCCUCGGAUUCCCCCCUCCCUCUCGGCCGCAAGCGCCGGCGCCGACAUGGUAUGGAAGCGGCUGCCACGUAUUCUCACCCCACGUUCCCGAUCUGGAGAGGGAGGGAAAUACACGGCCACAUGUGCGUGCGCCGUCGGGAUGUUUCUUGAGGGUAGCAUCAACCCUUGUAGGCACUGCUAGCAGCAGCAGCAGGCCUCAGUGCCGACGAAGGGAUGGCACAUGGCGCCGUCGUCGUCGAUCUAGGUAGAAGGGCAAGCCAAGAUGAACCUCUCGCAUUAUCUAGGAAGUUGUCAUGGAAGACGCCGAAGAAAAGUCCAUGUAAGCUCCUCUGGUUUUCUUCCAUAAUUUUUCUUCCCUGCACAACAGUUAAUUUCCGUCUCUUCUGGACCACGUCUAAUUUUGGGAAAAAGAUGCAGGAAUUUUGAUAGAGAUGGAGAACUGGACGUGCUUUGUUUCCUUGCCUUGACCGCAUCUAAUUUUGGGGAAAAGAGAGAGGAAUUUGAGAUAGGUGGACAACCUGAAGAUCUUUGAACGUUCAGGAGCAGCCAUAUCCUCAGUGCUAUGCCAGCCUCCUCGCCACUACUGUCAUGUGGAUGUGACUAUUGUUUGGCUGCUGGUGAGAUGGGCAUAGUUUCCUCCGGGUUCAUGCAUCGUGAUGGUAUUCGAACAACACCUUAAUUGGCCCAAGAAAAUUUAGGACUGUCGGAUGAUAAACCAAAUUUUUUGUUUCAUGUACUAUCAUCUCACGUUCUAAUUUUGGUGUUCUGGUAGGAAGGGAUCGGCUUUGGCGGUGUCCGGUGCUGGCAUGUCAUGUGAUUAGAGCAUAGGAAGCUAACAUGAUGUUUGGAACUCGGUGGUCAUGCUCAUUGACUAGAUGCUGCGCCUCAUGUCACCCCGGGCGUCGAAUUGCUUGAUAGCAGAGCUCACGGAGUAAAAAUAUGUCUGCAAGUACUUGUUUGCCAUAUGCCUGCCCACUCCUCCGUCUCAUCAAGCUUUCUUUUAUUUCUCUAAAUUUGUUGUGUGCAUGUAUGUGAAAAAAUAACAGGAAUAGGCCAUGCUAAGGCUUUGGCAAAGAACAUUCUUUCCCUUGCUUAUGAAAAUUUUGGUCCUUUAAUAUUGAUUCCAUAAUUUGUGAUUAAUAAAUGUUGUUGGUAUUUGAUCUCUUUGUUGCUCAUGUCCUACUUGAUUUUGCAUGGGUACAGGCAAAAUACUAUUGGAGUGACAUAUUGGUAGAACCGAGGGUCCUACCGGUCCCGCUCCUCAGGUUGUAGGGGAAGGCAGGGGCUUGACAGAGAAGAGGGCGCGGCGGCCGGCGCGCGGGAGCCGUCGCGAUUGGGAAGGAGGGAGGCAGUGAGAGAGAGAGAGGUGCGGCUAGGGUUUAGGGCCCGGCUCCUCUGGGAGCCGGGCAAUAGAAUUAUUAUUAUUGCUUGAUCUCAAAAUAGUUUUACAGCUAGUAUAUAUAACCACGAUGCUAAAAAUAAGAUAACUUGUGGGCCAAGCCCCUAACUAAACCUGCCCGGUGGGCCUCCUACGGGCAUA
rnacentral:lncRNA from 1 species